rnacentral:rRNA from 1 species
CGCGUAGGCGGCUUUGCAAGUCAGAUGUGAAAGCCCCGGGCUUAACUCGGGAAUUGCAUCUGAAACUGCUUAGCUUGAGUCCUGGAGGGGGUAGUGGAAUUCCCAGUGUAGCGGUGAAAUGCGUAGAUAUUGGGAGGAACACCUGCGGCGAAGGCGGCUACCUGGACAGUGACUGACGCUGAUGCGCGAAAGCUAGGGGAGCGAACGG